GCGGGUAUGGCGGAAUUGGCAGACGCGCCGGACUCAAAAUCCGGUGGUUGUACCGUGCAGGUUCAAGUCCUGUUGCCCGCA
rnacentral:tRNA from 2 species